rnacentral:lncRNA from 1 species
GAAGAAUCAUGGGAAAGAGAUGGGGAACUGCGACAUGAAGAAGUUAACUUACCUAAGAUCAGAGAAUGAGUCAAGGACAGAACAGGACCAUGUCAUCAAAUUUAGAGAAACUUGAACUAUACACUACUUUGGAGAAAGCUGACCUAAGAUGCAGAAUUAGAGGUGCUCCAAAGGCCCAGAAUAUCCAUUGCCACCUAUUGAUGCAGCACAA